GACGAACGCUGGCGGCGUGCCUAAUACAUGCAAGUCGAGCGCAGGAAAUCGACGGAACCCUUCGGGGGGAAGUCGAUGGAAUGAGCGGCGGACGGGUGAGUAACACGUAAAGAACCUGCCCUCAGGUCCGGGAUAACCACGAGAAAUCGGGGCUAAUACCGGAUGGGUCAUCGGACCGCAUGGUCCGAGGAUGAAAGGCGCUUCGGCGUCGCCUGGGGAUGGCUUUGCGGUGCAUUAGCUAGUUGGUGGGGUAAUGGCCCACCAAGGGGACGAUGCGUAACGGAGCUGAGAGGUGGAUCGGCGACACUGGAAUGAAGACACGGCCCAGAAUCCUACGGGAGGCAGCAGUAGGGAAUCUUCCACAAUGGACGAAAGUCUGAUGGAGCAACGCCGCGUGAACGAUGAAGGCCUUCGGGUCGUAAAGUUCUGUUGUAAGGGAAGAACAAGUGCCGCAGGCAAUGGCGGCACCUUGACGGUACCUUGCGAGAAAGCCACGGCUAACUACGUGCCAGCAGCCGCGGUAA
rnacentral:rRNA from 1 species